rnacentral:rRNA from 1 species
UACGGAGGAUGCGAGCGUUAUCCGGAUUUAUUGGGUUUAAAGGGUGCGUAGGCGGACUGUCAAGUCAGCGGUAAAAUUGAGAGGCUCAACCUCUUCCCGCCGUUGAAACUGGUGGUCUUGAGUGGAUGAGAAGUACGCGGAAUGCGUGGUGUAGCGGUGAAAUGCAUAGAUAUCACGCAGAACUCCGAUUGCGAGGGCGGCGUACCGGCAUCCAACUGACGCUGAGGCACGAAAGCGUGGGGAUCAAACAGG